rnacentral:rRNA from 1 species
UGGGGAAUAUUGCACAAUGGGCGCAAGCCUGAUGCAGCCAUGCCGCGUGUGUGAAGAAGGCCUUCGGGUUGUAAGCACUUUCAGCGAGGAGGAAGGUGGUGGACUUAAUACGUUCAUCAAUUGACGUUACUCGCAGAAGAAGCACCGGCUAACUCCGUGCCAGCAGCCGCGGUAAUACGGAGGGUGCAAGCGUUAAUCGGAAUUACUGGGCGUAAAGCGCACGCAGGCGGUUUGUUAAGUCAGAUGUGAAAUCCCCGGGCUCAACCUGGGAACUGCAUUUGAAACUGGCAAGCUAGAGUCUCGUAGAGGGGGGUAGAAUUCCAGGUGUAGCGUGAAAUGCGUAGAGAUCUGGAGGAAUACCGGUGGCGAAGGCGGCCCCCUGGACGAAGACUGACGCUCAGGCUGCGAAAGCGUGGGGCAGCAAACAGGAUUAGAUACCCUGGUAGUCCACGCUGUAAACGAUGUCGAUUUGGAGGUUGUGCCCUUGAGGCGUGGCUUCCGGAGCUAACGCGUUAAAUCGACCGCCUGGGGAGUACGGCCNCAAGGUUAAAACUCAAAUGAAUUG